rnacentral:rRNA from 1 species
UACGGAGGAUGCGAGCGUUAUCCGGAUUUAUUGGGUUUAAAGGGUGCGUAGGCGGCAUUAUAAGUUAGUGGUAAAAUAUUGGGGCUUCACCUCACUACGCCAUUAAUACUGUAGAGCUAGAGAACAGACGAGGUAGGCGGAAUAAGUUAAGUAGCGGUGAAAUGCAUAGAUAUAACUUAGAACACCGAUAGCGAAGGCAGCUUACCAGACUGAGUCUGACGCUGAUGCACGAGAGCAUGGGUAGCGAACAG